AAAUUUUUAAUUUAAUAAAAAUAUUUCAUUUACAUUGAAAAAUUAAUUAUUUUUAAUUAAAAUUUA
rnacentral:tRNA from 1 species